rnacentral:rRNA from 1 species
UACGAAGGGGGCUAGCGUUGCUCGGAAUCACUGGGCGUAAAGCGCACGUAGGCGGGUCUUUAAGUCAGGGGUGAAAUCCUGGAGCUCAACUCCAGAACUGCCUUUGAUACUGAGGAUCUCGAGUCCGGGAGAGGUGAGUGGAACUCCGAGUGUAGAGGUGAAAUUCGUAGAUAUUCGGAAGAACACCAGUGGCGAAGGCGACUCACUGGCCCGGUACUGACGCUGAGGUGCGAAAGCGUGGGGAGCAAACAGG